CUACGGGUGGCACCAGUGAGGAAUAUUGCACAAUGGGGGGAACCCUGAUGCAGCAACGCCGCGUGGAGGAUGACGCAUUUCGGUGUGUAAACUCCUUUUAUAUGUCAAGAAAAUGACGGUAGCAUAUGAAUAAGCACCGGCUAACUCCGUGCCAGCAGCCGCGGUAAUACGGAGGGUGCAAGCGUUACUCGGAAUCACUGGGCGUAAAGGACGCGUAGGCGGGUUGGAAAGUCAGGUGUGAAAUCCUACAGCUUAACUGUAGAACUGCACUUGAAACUUCUAAUCUAGAGUAUGGGAGGGGAGAUGGAAUUAGUGGUGUAGGGGUAAAAUCCGUAGAUAUCACUAGGAAUACCUAAAGCGAAGGCGAUCUCCUGGAACAUUACUGACGCUAAGGCGUGAAAGCGUGGGGAGCAAACAGGAUUAGAUACCCCGGUAGUC
rnacentral:rRNA from 1 species